CCAAAACGACUCUCGGCAACGGAUAUCUCGGCUCUCGCAUCGAUGAAGAACGUAGCGAAAUGCGAUACUUGGUGUGAAUUGCAGAAUCCCAUGAACCAUCGAGUCUUUGAACGCAAGUUGCGCCCGAAGCCAUCAGGCCGAGGGCACGUCUGCCUGGGCGU
rnacentral:rRNA from 2 species